rnacentral:piRNA from 1 species
UAUGAUUCGCUGGUGGAUAACUGUGCCUU